rnacentral:tRNA from 1 species
GGGUCGGUGCCCGAGUGGUUAAAGGGGGCAGACUGUAAAUUUGCUGGCUCACGCCUACGCUGGUUCGAACCCAGCCCGGCCCA